GAUUAGUCAGUGAAUUAAAGAGAGUUCUUGUUCCUGGAUAAUUUGGAAUGAACACAUUUCCUGUUCACUCAGAGAUACAGCAGCGAGUUUAUUCUGGGUGGCUUCCACAGUGACCAUUGUGGAGAAGAAAUCUUGUAAUAUAAUUGAAGAACAAUAGCCAUAUAAUUAACACAGAUGUUCAGGUAUGAGUCAUUGAAAAAUUAUCAUCCUUACUGUGAAAUAAGAUUGGUCAAGGCGAGGCUGGUCCUUCAAAGAAGGAAAACCCAACAUGGUGCAAUGUGUGCUGCAGCAUACCCACAACAGCCUGAUCUGCAAAUCAACAGUGUAAAGAGCUCAAAUCCAGAGGCUGAAGGCUUAUUGUGUUGACUUUCUCAUCCUAGAGGUCACUGAAUGCAGAACUUGGGAACUUCUGGACUUCCUAUGCAACAGCUUGCUUAAACCUGGAAGGGACCCCUGGCUGGGAAUAGUCACAUUUAUCAAAUGGUUAAUAGAUCUUCUACUGGGUUAAAAGCUUUACAUUCGAAAUCAUCCUAUCUUCACAAAAAAAUCUCUCUGAAGUAGUUAUUGGCACCUCUGCUGUGUUAGUAAGGAAACGAAGUUCAGCAGAAGAUACGAUUUUACUCAAGAUGACACAGCUGUAAAUGGCAUGGGGAAAAUCUGAUUGCCACAGACAGAAGAAUGAAACUGGAUGCCUAUUUCUCACAAUACACAAAAGCGAUUCAAGAUUAAAGACUUAACUGUAAGACUUGAAACUGUAAAAAUACUAGAAGAAAAUCUAGGGAAAACUGUUCUGGACAUUGGCCUAGAAAAAGAAUUUCUGACUAAGACUUCAAAAGCACAGUAAACAAAAAUAGACAAACGGGACUUAAUGAAACUAAAACUCUUCUGCAGAGCAAAGAAAAUAAGAAACAGAGUGAACAGACAACCUGCAAAAUGGGAGAUAGACAAUGGAGACUAAGAAGAGCAAAGGAAUGACAGAGAGGUGGAGGAUGAGAAAUUACUUAAUGGAUACCUUGACUAUGAAUAAUAGUUUCAAUAAGGAAGACAGAAUGAGUUCUGACACGAUGGUUGGGAGCUGUGACAGGCAGACGAAAAAUGGAGCCAAAUGGCAUGGAGGUGUCAUGAUGUUGGAACAGUAACAAUAACUCAACCAACCAGGGCUUGUCUGAAUACAAUCCUACAGCAGCAGGAGCUGUGGAGAUAUAGAAGGCAAGGAAGACCAGGUUGUGAGGGAAGACGAAUUUACUCCCAGGAAUGUUGGGAUUGAGAGUAAUAUUCUCCAAUAAUGGUGGAAGACAGAACAAUAAAAGCCCACCAGCUCCUUCUGCAUGGUGGGAUAAGAGAAAAGCCAAGGGCAGAAGUGAGAAAAAUAACCAUCACCAAACUGAAAAGAAAACCUUUAUAAAAAAACUGGAUUGAUAAAUGACCUUUAGUAGUGGAAAGAUACCAUUCCAAUGAAGCAUGAAUUGAAAGGAUUUCUUCUGAAAGCUAAUUUACAUUUUUCUUUUUUUUUUUUUCAUUUUCAGUGUGUUUUAGCAGGUGUAUUGUUCUACAUGGUUAGUUUCUUUACCUCUUUGAGAAAAAUGGGUCAGCUUGACACAUCUGGAUGAAAGAAUCCGUUAGGUGAUUAUGAUUGAAGACAGAUUAAGCCUUGUUAUGAGGGGAAUAUUUGGGGGCUUACCCUGAGGUGAUAUUUGAUGAUUUAGCUGUGGGAGAAUUUCCCUCCCAAGAUCAGCGUGACUGACACUGAAAUUGCUACAGGGGAACCGGACCUUUCCAAGAGGUGACAAGGACAUUUACCUGGUACAACACAAUGGUUCUGGACUGGAAGUCUAGUCCCAUUGAUGAAGUUCCCAAAAGAUGUCCAGGUCCUAAUCCCUGGAAUCUGUGAAUAUGUCAUCUUACACAUCAAAAGAACUUUGAAAAUGUGAUUGAGGUUAAGGACCUUGGAAUGAGGAGAUUACCUUGGAUUAUCUGGUUGGGUCCAAGCUAAUCACAUGAGUCCUUAAAGGAGAAGAACCUUUUUUAGCUGGGUCAGAGAGAGAUGUGAUGAUGAAAACAGGCUCAGGGAGAUGCACUGUAAGAAGGGCUUGACCAGUUGUUUUUGACUUUGAAGAUGGAGGGAAGGGCCAGGAGCCAAGGAAGGUGGGUGGCUUUUGGAAGGUGGAAAAAGCAAGGGAACAUUCUCUCCAGAGCCUCCAGAAAGGAGCUCAGCCCUGUUGACAUCUUUGUUUUUAUUUUUUAUUUUUAGUAGCAUUGAGGUCUCACUAUGUUGCACAGGCUGGUCUUGAACUCUUGAGCUCAAGCACUCCUCCCGCCUUGGCUUCCCAAAGUGCUGGGAUUAUAGGCAUGUGCCACCACAUCUGGCUUCCUACUGACAUCUUAACUUUAGUGCAGUGAGACUCAUAUUUGAAUUUCUGACCUUAUAUUAUAGAACCAUAAGACAUUAUAGAAUUAUAUAGAAUUAUAGAACCAUAAGACAAUAACUUUGUGUUGUUUUAAGAUACUAAAUUUUUGGUAAUUUGUUAUGGCAGCACAAUAAAACCAAUAUAGCAUUAUAUUAUGCCAAUAUCAUCUCUUUGUUGACUAUUGCUAUUAUAGUUUGUUUUAUGGGUCUUGUGUAAACAAUCAAGCUAUAAUAUUGGGUUAACUCCCUAAGGAAAACUUGGAAUAUAGAACAUUAUUUUAAAGACUGAAUUAGGUAAAUACACCUGCCAGUGAAUACAUUAACAAAUUAAUUAAUAUAUUCACUCUUUUCACUCACAAAUACUUUUUGAGCCCCUAUUACUAGCCAAACAUUUUGUUAGAUUCUGAGAAGGGUCUGCUAGACAACAUUGUGACUAUAGUUAAUAACAAUAUAUUGUACUCUUGAAAAUUACUAAGAGAGUAGAUUUUAAGUGUUCUCACCACAAAAAAUAAGUAUGUGAGGUAAUGCAGAUGUUAGUUAGCUUGAUUUAGCCAUUCCCCAGUGUAUACAUAUUUCAAACCUUCAUAUUAUACAUGGAUAAAUAUAUACAAUUUUUAUUUGUCAAUUAAAAGCCCCUCGAUGAAUACAGUUUCCAUUCUGUCCUUGAGGUGGAGCUUGUAGACUUGGUGGGGUCCGGGGAUCAACUUUUAAACAGGCAGUUCCAAAGUGUGGAGUGGAUAGGCUUAUUCUCUUUGUUGCUUUUAUGAUAGGUAUUUAGAAUGCACUUUCCUCUGUUAAGUUAAGCCAGCCACCAUUCCCUCAUUCAGUUUCCAUCCUCCAUGAAUUUGCUCACAUCUGCGGUCUACUGUCACUCAUUCUUUCCUUCUCUUCCUGAGGGCUUGUGUGACUUAUGUUCUUGGCUUUCUCUUAGGAACAUGGUGCAGCUUGGCCCUGCAUUAUCCAUCUGGAAAAACAGAUCAUAAAACAGUCCUUCUCUGUACUAAGUGCUAAAGUAGGAGGAAGGGCAUAAGUCAGCUCCCUGAGCUAUAUAUCCUUGUUUUCAGGAGCUGAGCUAGACACAAGCAGAACUUGCAAAUAAUUUACAUUUCUUUCUGCUGAGGUGGUUCAGAAUAAGUUGCAACAAACAUGAACAGGAAUGGUGCAGUAAAU
rnacentral:lncRNA from 10 species